rnacentral:rRNA from 2 species
AGCAUGUAGGCGGAGGUUCCAGGUAAAUCCGGUACCUUUUAACGCUGAGGUGUGAUGACGAGGCACUACGGUGCUGAAGUAACAAAUGCCCUGCUUCCAGGAAAAGCCUCUAAGCAUCAGGUAACAUUAAAUCGUACCCCAAACCGACACAGGUGGUCAGGUAGAGAAUACCAAGGCGCUUGAGAGAACUCGGGUGAAGGAACUAGGCAAAAUGGUGCCGUAACUUCGGGAGAAGGCACGCUGGUGUGUAGGUGA